GGAUCCAGACUUUGAUAUGGCUCAGGAUGAACGCUAGCUACAGGCUUAACACAUGCAAGUCGAGGGGAAACGAUAUUGGAAGCUUGCUUCCGAUAGGCGUCGACCGGCGCACGGGUGAGUAACGCGUAUCCAACCUGCCCAUCACUUGGGGAUAACCUUGCGAAAGUAAGACUAAUACCCAAUGAUAUCUCUAGAAGACAUCUGAAGGAGAUUAAAGAUUCAUCGGUGAUGGAUGGGGAUGCGUCUGAUUAGCUUGUUGGCGGGGUAACGGCCCACCAAGGCGACGAUCAGUAGGGGUUCUGAGAGGAAGGUCCCCCACAUUGGAACUGAGACACGGUCCGAACUCCUACGGGAGGCAGCAGUGAGGAAUAUUGGUCAAUGGGCGAGAGCCUGAACCAGCCAAGUAGCGUGCAGGAUGACGGCCCUAUGGGUUGUAAACUGCUUUUAUAAGGGAAUAAAGUGAGCCUCGUGAGGCUUUUUGCAUGUACCUUAUGAAUAAGGACCGGCUAAUUCCGUGCCAGCAGCCGCGGUAAUACGGAAGGUCCGGGCGUUAUCCGGAUUUAUUGGGUUUAAAGGGAGCGUAGGCCGGAGAUUAAGCGUGUUGUGAAAUGUAGAUGCUCAACAUCUGCACUGCAGCGCGAACUGGUUUCCUUGAGUACGCACAAAGUGGGCGGAAUUCGUGGUGUAGCGGUGAAAUGCUUAGAUAUCACGAAGAACUCCGAUUGCGAAGGCAGCUCACUGGAGCGCAACUGACGCUGAAGCUCGAAAGUGCGGGUAUCGAACAGGAUUAGAUACCCUGGUAGUCCGCACGGUAAACGAUGGAUGCCCGCUGUUGGUCUGAAUAGGUCAGCGGCCAAGCGAAAGCAUUAGGCAUCCCACCUGGGGAGUACGCCGGCAACGGUGCAACUCAGAGGAAUUGACGG
rnacentral:rRNA from 1 species